AUUGAACGCUGGCGGCAUGCCUUACACAUGCAAGUCGAACGGUAACAGGUCUUCGGAUGCUGACGAGUGGCGAACGGGUGAGUAAUACAUCGGAACGUGCCCAGUAAUGGGGGAUAGCCCGGCGAAAGCCGGAUUAAUACCGCAUACGCCCUGAGGGGGAAAGUGGGGGACCGCAAGGCCUCACGUUCUUGGAGGGGCCGAUGGCUGAUUAGCUAGUUGGUGAGGCAAAGGCUCACCAAGGCGACGAUCAGUAGCUGGGCGGAGAGGACGAUCAGCCACACGGGGACUGAGACACGGCCCAGACUCCUACGGGAGGCAUCAGUGGGGAAUGUGGGACAAUGGGGGCAACCCUGAUCCAGCAAUGCCGCGUGUGCGAAGAAGGCCUUCGGGUUGUAAAGCACUUUUGUCAGGGAAGAAAUCCUUUGGGCUAAUACCCUAGGGGGAUGACGGUACCUGAAGAAUAAGCACCGGCUAACUACGUGCCAGCAGCCGCCGUAA
rnacentral:rRNA from 1 species